rnacentral:rRNA from 1 species
GUGAAGCGGUAACAGCUCAAAUUUGAAAUCUGGCCUCACGGUCCGAGUUGUAAUUUGUAGAGGAUGCUUCGAGCAUGGUCUGGCCUAAGUUCCUUGGAACAGGACGUCAUAGAGGGUGAGAAUCCCGUAUGCGGCCAGGUGCCUACGCUCAUGUGAAGCUCCUUCGACGAGUCGAGUUGUUUGGGAAUGCAGCUCAAAAUGGGUGGUAAAUUUCAUCUAAAGCUAAAUAUUGGCCAGAGACCGAUAGCGCACAAGUAGAGUGAUCGAAAGAUGAAAAGCACUUUGGAAAGAGAGUUAAACAGUACGUGAAAUUGUUGAAAGGGAAGCGCUUGCAACCAGACUUGCGCGCGGCCGAUCAUCCGGUGUUCUCACCGGUGCACUCGGCCGUGCUCAGGCCAGCAUCGGUUUUGGCGGCUGGAUAAAGGCCCUAGGAAUGUGGCUCCUCUCGGGGAGUGUUAUAGCCUAGGGUGCAAUGCAGCCUGCUGGGACCGAGGACCGCGCUUCGGCUAGGAUGCUGGCGUAAUGGUUGUAAGCGGCCCGUCUUGAAACACGGACCAAGGAGUCUAACAUCUAUGCGAGUGUUUGGGUGUCAAACCCAUACGCGUAAUGAAAGUGAACGGAGGUGAGAACCCUUAAGGGUGCAUCAUCGACCGAUCCUGAUGUCUUCGGAAGGAUUUGAGUAAGAGCAUAGCUGUUGGGACCCGAAAGAUGGUGAACUAUGCCUGAAUAGGGUGAAGCCAGAGGAAACUCUGGUGGAGGCUCGCAGCGGUUCUGACGUGCAAAUCGAUCGUCAAAUUUGGGUAUAGGGGCGAAAGACUAAUCGAACCAUUGACCUGUAGGAACACUACUAGGUGGUUAAGAGGCGGCUAAAAGUGCCGUCUAGUCCCGACGCCGGGGCGACACUGUCAAAUUGCGGGAACAUCCUUAGAGCCUAGACUACCGCAGCCUUCCCGAAAGGGGGGUGCGCACCAGGGUAACGACCUCGGGUAUGGUAAUAACGUCUAGGAUUGGACAAUCCGCAGCCAAGCCCUACGGACCUCGGUCUAUGGGUGCAGUUCAUCGACUAGAUGGCAGUGGGUGGCAGCAAUGCCGCUUAAGAUAUAGUCAGACCCCCGGGAGACCGGGCGGCAGAACGAAGACCGCGGGGGGCGUCCUCUCUGAGAGCCCUGCGGUCCCGAGUCUGCUGGUGG